AGUGAACGCUGGCGGUAGGCCUAACACAUGCAAGUCGAACGGCGGCACAGUAAGAGCUUGCUCUUACGGGUGGCGAGUGGCGGACGGGUGAGGAAUACAUCGGAAUCUACUUUUUCGUGGGGGAUAACGUAGGGAAACUUACGCUAAUACCGCAUACGACCUACGGGUGAAAGCAGGGGAUCUUCGGACCUUGCGCGAUUGAAUGAGCCGAUGUCGGAUUAGCUAGUUGGCGGGGUAAAGGCCCACCAAGGCGACGAUCCGUAGCUGGUCUGAGAGGAUGAUCAGCCACACUGGAACUGUGACACGGUCCAGACUCCUACGGGAGGCAGCAGUGGGGAAUAUUGGACAAAGGGCGCAAGCCUGAUCCAGCCAUACCGCGUGGGUGAAGAAGGCCUUCGGGUUGUAAAGCCCUUUUGUUGGGAAAGAAAAGCAGCAGGUUAAUACCCCGCUGUUCUGACGGUACCCAAAGAAUAAGCACCGGCUAACUUCGUG
rnacentral:rRNA from 1 species